AGACUGUGAAAAGACCGCUGAUGGCAUGUCUGGUGGGGUAAGUGUGUGUGUCAGUGUGUAAGUUGAAUAUGCAAAAAAUUCAUGUUUCUUAUAAAAAGUAGUGAUGAAAGAGAGUAAUAGGAUACGGCAUGUGUCAAAAUUGAUUGAUUGCUGACCUUAUGACCUGAUGACAUGUACUGAAUAUGUGCCCCCGGAAUAUGUGAAAAUCGUGAACAAUUACGGCGAUGGCCUAGGUUAUCGUUGAGACAUACCCCGGAACAACAUAGGUUAUCGUUGAGACAUACCCCGGAACAACAACAAGUUCGAAGGCGGAUCUUUCCCUGGCAGGAAAGUGGACAGAGCUUCGACGGAGCGCGGAAAAGACUUUGUGAUGGGGAAUUGGAAACGGAUAAUGUUCAGGGCUAACAGGACCCCAUAUAUCUCUUUUACGCGAUUUACCUGAUCUGGAACAUGAUGGGGGUUCGCAGGAGCAAAAGUCUGGCAGACAAUCACCAACGGCCUUUUUUCGUUCCGACAUACAGCCCUUUAUGAUAAAGGAUGCGUUAUGGACAGCUGACACGCAGGACUUUGAUGCAAUUCUACCGUUCUGUACGAGCGCU